rnacentral:lncRNA from 1 species
CGCUUUGGGGUGGGCAGAGUUGGGAAGUUGGUAUGGCAGGAUUAAAGUAACUGGAGAGAAGAGCUGGGUAACAAGUUUGGGGAUAGAGACAGUCUGCAGACAGGAUGAGAUGCGAUGGUAGUAUUGUCACGGUGUAAUCACUAGGGAGCAAGGGGAUUAUUCCUGCUGAGUUGUGACCAUGUGCUAUGCUCCCAGCGCUGGACGGGAACCACUGCAAUAACCACUUCCCAUAGCAAAAAAGCCGAAGUUAUAAGACAAAAAACAGGAUUUUUGUGUAACCACUGCAGAUGACUCCUCUGGAGGAAGAGCAGUAAGGCACAAACAAGAGCACACACAUUUCCUCCUCUUGUUUGGGUUGCAGCAUGAACCUCCUUGUAGUCUCCUCCACUAUGCAGUCCAUCAUGUCACGACAUGCAUUCCCUUGGCAAAUACACUAACACCCAUGAACAUGUACUGUGAUCAAUUUGCAGUGUAUGUACAACUGAAACAGUCAAGUCAGACUGUAAAUUUACUUACCUCUCAGAGUUUACAGAAAGAGUCAUAACCCUCCCUCUGCUAGUCCAAACUAGUAAGGUACCGGGCUGUUCAGUCAUCCAGCAAGAAGCCAGUGCAGUUAUGCCAUUUUCCCCUCUUGUCCUGAGUCUGCACUGUGUAAAGAGCCAUCAGCACUGGCAAAAGCAUCAGGAGUGGAUGGGAAUGCUGAUGAGGACGAUCUUCCAGUUGUUGCUGUUCAAAAUCUCUUAUCUGCCAUGUUUUGCUCCCUGUGUGAGCAAUAUGUAAUGCUAACUGAGCAGUGCUGAAACAGGAUGAUAAACUAAACUAGGGGAGAAACUGAGCUGUUAAUCUCAGCCUGCUUUAAAAGCCUAUUAGGGACUGACUGGCUCAGCAUUGCCACAAAGGCUGCGGUGCACCAGAGUGAAGUAAUGAGCUGACAAGUGGGUGAGCUCACCUGGCAGGAGCCCAGGGAGGGCAGAGACACAGUGCAGCUGGUGUUGCCUCGACAUCUCUCAUUACCUUCAUCAAAUGUUUGUCUGUACACAGCCUGUACAGAAGAAACUUCUGUCCAAGGACAUUAGGUGCCUCCAGGGUGAAGCAGGGCUCUCAGGAGUGCUUCUUGUGCAUUCCUUUUCAUUUUGAAAGUGCCUACACACUUUGAUAUC